CGGAGAGCCCAAGCUAGGGUGGAAAAGCAGCUUCCCCCCAUAUACAGUGCUGGUGUUUCCAUCAAAAGCACCCAUUCCUCCAUCACAGAGGCUCCACUCCGCCCUAGCCCACAGAAGGGGACAGAGUCCACAGUAGAAGUUAAGAAAGUCCCGGGGCCCAGUUUAGUUUUCUCGGGUUUGAAGCCCUAACCCUGAAAAUGAUCAAACACAACACAGCAGCCCCUGGCUCCCUCGUUAGCACCUGGCUGAGAGCCGGGUGGUGAGCAGAGGGGCCCCUGAGCAGCCCAGCCCCAGGGUGGGCCCAGAGACUCUUCCCUGGGCAAGCUCUCAGGCUUCUCUGAGGAUCCACCUCCCCUGGUUUUAUACCCAAUUCUGGAGCACCGGUUCUGCCCACGGAGAUCAUCGAUGGAGCCUGAAGAAAUGCCUGGUGCUACUCUCACCCGGCAGAGACCCAGAGCUCUGGGACGAGGCAAGGGCUCAGUAGUCUUAAAAGCUGCCCAGGCCAUUCCAACAUGCGGCCAAGUUUGUCAACCGCAGGAAAGACCCCGAAGUCACCUCUCCAUGGCCCCCUCCCUGGAUCACACCCGGUGCAGGGGGAGAGUGAAUUACUCAUUACACUUGGUGAAAGGUGGUAAUCAAACAUUUAAAAAAUAUCCCCGUCAAAUUGGCCACCGUGUAAACACGAACGAGGCAUUCACUUCUGCGGCCGGGCGGAAGCACUGCCCGCGAAGCUCUCCGCCGGCCGGGCGCAAAGGGAGCCCCAAGCCGGGGCUCAGCCACAGGGUCAGAGCUCCACCAGGUCCCGGAAAGGACGGUCCCGGCCCCCGCCCCGCGGGGCCUCAGCACUUGGGCCCGGCGAUCGCUGCUCAGCGCCGCGCGGGCCAGGCCUGCCCUUCCGGGCCUGCGUCGGGCCCGCUCCGCCCUGCCCGCCGCGCAGCCCGGCCGUGCCCCGCCCGCCUC
rnacentral:lncRNA from 1 species